GCAGAAGUAACAUUCCUUUGAACACUCAGCUUUCUGAAAUGGUGUCCCACCGCAAGGACUGGAGAAGGGUAAACCUCAGGUUCUCCUCCUGCCUUUUGCUAAGUAUAUGUCUUGAUGACAAGCCUUCUGCUGAUGAGCUGUGUUUCUGGACCGAUCAUGGUAGAAGUCAAUUAACGUGUCCCUCACUUGGGGUUUCUCAAGGGAGUCUCACUCUGUCGUCCAGGCUGGAGUGCAGUGGCACAAUCUCGGCUCACUGCAAGCUCUGCCUCCCAGGUUCACGCCAUUCUCCUGCCUCAGUCUCCCAACUGCACUGAUGAGGAAACUGAAACAGAAAAUCCAGAGUAAAUUCCACCAGGCCACACAGCAAGGUCUGAUAGAGCCAGGAGAGACUUUAUGAAAUCCAGACUCUCACACUAAUGCUCUAUCAGCUAGACCUCCAUGUGAGUCUCCCCAAUGUAGGUAGGAAGUGCUUUCCCUAAAAUGCUCAUAAAGCAAAUCAGAGCAAUGCUGCAUUCCAUGUGAUUUCUAAUUUGAAAUGCAAACAAUUGCCAAUUUGUUUGACUUGUAUUUAUAAUUAUUUCCUUGUGAAUUACUCAUCACUAAAUGCUUUAUAAAUAUUUUCUCUUUUUUUCCUCAAUGUCUAUGGAAUGAUCACAGCAUAGAAAAUGUUGGCUUUCAAGGAUUUAUUAAUAUCUCCUUUUGAAAUAACAUGUAUUUGUAAGACAGAAUAAAAUCACUUUAAA
rnacentral:lncRNA from 10 species